UUAUUCAAAAACUUACUUUCGGUUAAGGACGAAAACAGAACUCCUUUCCUGGCUGCAGCAAUAGGCACAAAUGGAGUUAAACAGGCAAGACUGGUUCUACAGGCCAAAAAAGAGCGUCUGCUUCAACAACUUUUAGCAGAGACUCUUGGAGCGACUGUAGACGAGGCCUUGGUAACACAUCCGGAUGAGAUGGAGGCAAUUAAACAAUUUUCAGACACUGAGGUUACCAAGUCGAGAAUACCAAGGUGUAUUCUGGACUUCCUGGAAAAAGUCAGAAACAGCGAAAAUGUAGACGACAAUACAAACAUCGAAAUUGCCAUCACCAUAAAAAUAGAUGGAAAAGAAGUUGUCGGUGACAGGAUGAAUAUGAUAAAGAGAAAAGGGAUAAAAACGAU